AAUCAACGCUGGCGGCGUGCCUAACACAUGCAAGUCGCACGAGAAAGGGUCUUCGGAUCUGAGUAAAGUGGCGCACGGGUGGGUAACACGUGAAUUAUCUACCUUCGAGUGGGGAAUAACUUCGGGAAACCGAGGCUAAUACCGCAUAAUAUCUACGGAUCAAAGCAGUAAUGCGUUUGAAGAGGAGUUCGCGGCAGAUUAGUUAGUUGGCGGGGUAAUGGCCCACCAAGACGAUGAUCUGUAUCCGGCCUGAGAGGGCGCACGGACACACUGGAACUGAAACACGGUCCAGACUCCUACGGGAGGCAGCAGUGGGGAAUUUUGCGCAAUGGGGGAAACCCUGACGCAGCAACGCCGCGUGGAGGAUGAAGUCUCUUGGGACGUAAACUCCUUUCGAUAGGGAAGAUUAUGACGGUACCUAUAGAAGAAGCCCCGGCUAACUUCGUGCCAGCAGCCGCGGUAA
rnacentral:rRNA from 1 species